CACGAACGCUGGCGGCAGGCUUAACACAUGCAAGUCGAGCGCCCCGCAAGGGGAGCGGCAGACGGGUGAGUAACGCGUGGGAAUCUACCCAUCUCUACGGAAUAACGCAUGGAAACGUGUGCUAAUACCGUAUACGUCCUUCGGGAGAAAGAUUUAUCGGAGAUGGAUGGGCCCGCGUUGGAUUAGCUAGUUGGUGGGGUAAAGGCCUACCAAGGCGACGAUCCAUAGCUGGUCUGAGAGGAUGAUCAGCCACACUGGGACUGAGACACGGCCCAGACUCCUACGGGAGGCAGCAGUGGGGAAUAUUGGACAAUGGGCGCAAGCCUGAUCCAGCCAUGCCGCGUGAGUGAUGAAGGCCCUAGGGUUGUAAAGCUCUUUCACCGGUGAAGAUAAUGACGGUAGCCGGAGAGGAAGCCCCGGCUAACUUCGUGCCAGCCGCCGCCGUAACAC
rnacentral:rRNA from 1 species